rnacentral:rRNA from 1 species
ACACGCAUGACACACUGCAUAUCAAUAAGCGGAGGAAAAGAAACUAACAAGGAUUCCCUUAGUAACGGCGAGUGAAGCGGGAAGAGCUCAAAUUUGAAAUCUUCAAGGUUUUACCUUGACGAAUUGUAGUUUAAAGAAGUGUUUUCGGUUAGUUGAGUGGUAAAAGUUCUUUGGAAUAGGACAUCAUAGAGGGUGAGAAUCCCGUAUUUGACCAUUCAUUCUAGCUAUGUGAUACACUUUCAAAGAGUCGGAUUGUUUGGGAAUGCAGUCCAAAAUGGGUGGUAAAUUUCAUCUAAAGCUAAAUAUUGGCGAGAGACCGAUAGCGAACAAGUACCGUGAGGGAAAGAUGAAAAGAACUUUGAAAAGAGAGUUAAACAGUACGUGAAAUUGUCAAAAGGGAAGCGUUUGACACCAGUGUUGUUUUUCCGAAAAUCAAUUGAAAGAGCUGUUUAUGCUAGGUUGUUAUGACCUUUAUCAGCUAUCUGCAAUUUAGUUUUGAGCUUUCUUUGAUGCACUUUUCAGGUUAACAAGUCAACAUCAAUUUCUUUUGCUGUAAAAAGCUUAAGAGGAAGGUGGCUUCAGAUUCGGCUGAAGUGUUUAUAGCCUCUUACCUAUGCAGUCGGAGAGAUUGAGGUCUGCAGCGUAGAUCCUUCGGGGCUAGAUACAGUUUGUGCUAAGUUAUAGCAUUUGUAUAGACAACUUGUUGACUAUGAUUUAGUCAUUGUAGGCUUACUCGCAAGUAUGUUAUUUUACCUACGCUUAGGAUGUUGAAUCUGUGCGAGACUAC